rnacentral:rRNA from 1 species
GAUGAACGCUAGCGACAGGCCUAACACAUGCAAGUCGAGGGGCAGCACAUGAGUAGCAAUACGAUGGUGGCGACCGGCGCACGGGUGAGUAACACGUAUGCAACCUGCCUUCUACUAUGGGAUAACCCGUUGAAAGACAGACUAAUACCGUAUAAUACAGGGGCUCCGCAUGGAGAUAUUUGUUAAAGAUUUAUUGGUAGAAGAUGGGCAUGCGUAUGAUUAGAUAGUUGGUGAGGUAACGGCUCACCAAGUCAACGAUCAUUAGGGGUUCUGAGAGGAAGGUCCCCCACACUGGUACUGAGACACGGACCAGACUCCUACGGGAGGCAGCAGUGAGGAAUAUUGGUCAAUGGACGAGAGUCUGAACCAGCCAAGUCGCGUGAAGGAAGAAGGUUCUAUGGAUUGUAAACUUCUUUUGUAAGGGAAUAAAAGAGUUACGUGUAACUUAUUGUAUGUACUUUACGAAUAAGGAUCGGCUAACUCCGUGCCAGCAGCCG